rnacentral:piRNA from 1 species
CCUCAAGUGUGGAUGGCCCCUGUGAGA